GGCACGACAGGUCCUUAUAGAGAGCUGACAACACUGUUUCUUGGUCUACAUGGUAGUCACACAGAUGUUCACUUCAUGAUAUAAUUGAGUUGUACCUUUGUUAUUUUCACUUCACAUCUCCUUCACGAAGAGGACCCUGCUGUUGCCUCCGGCCAGAAGAAAGUCCACCCUCAUGUAAACUCGGAAAUUACAAGAGAGAGCAGAGUUACACAGAAAGAGAAGAGUUGAGAAGAAAUCUGGAACUACAGGGUUGAAGAGAAUUGGGAAGGAAACGGAAACUACAGAAUAACUGGCCAAUUAUC
ensembl:lncRNA